AGCUUCAGUAGCGUAUAUUAAAGUUGUUGCAGUUAAAAAGCUCGUAGUCGCAUUUCUGGCGAGAGGAUCCGGUCCGACCUUUUGGUGGGUUCUUGGGUCUCUUUCGCCAUCCUUGAGUGGUCCGUUCUGGCAUUAGGUUGUCGGAGCGUCAGCCGCUCAUCGUUUACUGUGAGAAAAUUAGAGUGUUCAAAGCAGGCUUAUGCCGUUGAAUAUAUUAGCAUGGAAUAAUAAGAUAGGACCGCGGUACUAUUUUGUUGGUUUGCACACCAAGGUAAUGAUGAACAGGGACAGUUGGGGGUAUUUGUAUUUCGUUGUCAGAGGUGAAAUUCUUAGAUUUACGAAAGACAAACUACUGCGAAAGCAUUUGCCAAGGAUGUUUUCA
rnacentral:rRNA from 1 species